rnacentral:rRNA from 1 species
GGCGGGCAGNNGACACAUGCUUUGCGAGCGGUAGAGAGAAGCUUGCUUCUCUUGAGAGCGGCGGACGGGUGAGUAAUGCCUAGGGAAUCUGCCUGGUAGUGGGGGAUAACGUUCGGAAACGGACGCUAAUACCGCAUACGUCCUACGGGAGAAAGCAGGGGACCUUCGGGCCUUGCGCUCAUCAGAUGAGCCUAGGUCGGAUUAGCUAGUUGGUGAGGUAAUGGCUCACCAAGGCGACGAUCCGUAACUGGUCUGAGAGGAUGAUCAGUCACACUGGAACUGAGACACGGUCCAGACUCCUACGGGAGGCAGCAGUGGGGAAUAUUGGACAAUGGGCGAAAGCCUGAUCCAGCCAUGCCGCGUGUGUGAAGAAGGUCUUCGGAUUGUAAAGCACUUUAAGUUGGGAGGAAGGGUUGUAGAUUAAUACUCUGCAAUUUUGACGUUACCGACAGAAUAAGCACCGGCUAACUCUGUGCCAGCAGCCGCGGUAAUACAGAGGGUGCAAGCGUUAAUCGGAAUUACUGGGCGUAAAGCGCGCGUAGGUGGUAUAUGUUAAGUUGGAUGUGAAAUCCCCGGGCAUCAACUGGGAACUGAUUCAAAACUGACUGACUAGAGUAUGGUAGAGGGUGGUGGAAUACCCUGUUGUAGCCGGGUGAAAUGGCGUAAAUAUAGGACGGAACACCAAGNGGCAGAANGGCGNACAACCCUGGGGAACNUAAUAACUUGAACACUGGAGGGUUGCGAAACAGACGUGGGGAAGCAAACAGGAUUACGAAUACCACCUGGNGUCAGUCCCAANCCCGGAAAGGAUGUUCAACUACCCGGUGGGAAACCCUGACNCAUUCACACGGGCACACUCAACGCAUAAGUGGACACCCGGGAAAACGCCCGCACANGGUUAACACCCAUAGAAUGACACG